rnacentral:rRNA from 1 species
UACGUAGGGAGCAAGCGUUGUCCGGAAUCAUUGGGCGUAAAGCGCGCGUAGGUGGCCCCGUAAGUCCGCUGUGAAAGUCAAAGGCUCAACCUUUGAAAGCCGGUGGAUACUGUGGGACUAGAGUACGGAAGAGGCGAGUGGAAUUCCUGGUGUAGCGGUGGAAUGCGCAGAUAUCAGGAGGAACACCAAUAGCGAAGGCAGCUCGCUGGGACGUUACUGACACUGAGGCGCGAAAGCCGUGGGGAGCG